AUUGAACGCUGGCGGCAGGCCUAACACAUGCAAGUCGAGCGGAUGAUGGGAGCUUGCUCCUGGAUUCAGCGGCGGACGGGUGAGUAAUGCCUAGGAAUCUGCCUGGUAGUGGGGGAUAACGUCCGGAAACGGGCGCUAAUACCGCAUACGUCCUGAGGGAGAAAGUGGGGGAUCUUCGGACCUCACGCUAUCAGAUGAGCCUAGGUCGGAUUGGCUAGUUGGUGGGGUAAAGGCCUACCAAGGCGACGAUCCGUAACUGGUCUGAGAGGAUGAUCAGUCACACUGGAACUGAGACACGGUCCAGACUCCUACGGGAGGCAGCAGUGGGGAAUAUUGGACAAUGGGCGAAAGCCUGAUCCAGCCAUGCCGCGUGUGUGAAGAAGGUCUUCGGAUUGUAAAGCACUUUAAGUUGGGAGGAAGGGCAGUAAGUUAAUACCUUGCUGUUUUGACGUUACCAACAGAAUAAGCACCGGCUAACUUCGUG
rnacentral:rRNA from 1 species